rnacentral:rRNA from 1 species
UACGAAGGGGGCUAGCGUUGUUCGGAAUUACUGGGCGUAAAGCGCACGUAGGCGGACUAUUAAGUCAGGGGUGAAAUCCCGGGGCUCAACCCCGGAACUGCCUCUGAUACUGUCGAUCUGGAGUAUGGAAGAGGUGAGUGGAAUUCCGAGUGUAGAGGUGAAAUUCGUAGAUAUUCGGAGGAACACCAGUGGCGAAGGCGGCUCACUGGUCCAUUACUGACGCUGAGGUGCGAAAGCGUGGGGAGCAAACAGG